GGGGGUAUAGCUCAGUGGCAGAGCAUCCGACUGCAGAUCGGGCGGUCCCCGGUUUAAACCCGGGUGCCCCCU
rfam:Daphnia pulex DAPPTscaffold_70_Cont3585, whole genome shotgun sequence.